ACGCCUACAUGAAGUCGGAAUCGCUAGUAAUCGCGGAUCAGCAUGCCGCGGUGAAUACGUUCCCGGGCCUUGUACACACCGCCCGUCACACCAUGAGAGUUUGUAACACCCAAAGCCGGUGGGGUAACCUUUUGGAGCCAGCCGUCUAAGGUGGGACAGAUGAUUGGGGUGAAGUCGUAACAAGGUAAC
rnacentral:rRNA from 1 species